rnacentral:tRNA from 1 species
GCCUGUCUGGCGAAAUGGCAGACGCGCCGGUCUUAGGAGCCGGUGUCCGUAAUGGACGUCCGGGUUCGAGCCCCGGGAUAGGCA